rnacentral:lncRNA from 1 species
ACUGACCGAGUAAAUGUGAAUAUUUUUUCACUUGAACACUCUGAUCUGUUUGGAACUUAAUUUCCUUACUCAUGAAAUUAAUAUAAUAAGGCUAAGUUGGUCAGUAGUUAAACUAACUAAAUUUGGCUGAAGAUUGCUAUGUUCACUAUGCAAAGAUUAGACCGUUAGUUCCCUGAGUGAAGAGAUGCUAUCUUGGUAUCUCCAGCUUCCAACCGGGGGCUUGGCACAGAAUAGGGGCUUGGUAAAUGUUUUCCAAAUGAAUGGGAUGUCUGAUGGAAAGAAGACAAGGUGAAGGAAUUCCUGGGUAAUAUGGAGAUGAGAAUCUGUGAGAAGGAUACAUGUACUGAUGCCUGUCGCGGUGGACACACAGACGCACACAUUGCGGAACACCACCAUAAGAAUAUUGAGAAUAUCGAGAACACUUCAAUAUUCCAAACUUCAAUGGAAAUAUACGAACUGGAGUACACUCUUCUUCUGCCCUUGGACAUCAGGCUCUCUGGCCUUUGGACUCCAGGACUUAUACCAGCGCCCCUCUGGGUUCUCAGGCCUCUGUACUUGAACUGAGCCACACUGCCAGCAUGCCAGCUUCUCCAGCUUGCCAGGCCUGCUGUGGGACUUCUCAGCCUCCAUAAUCAUGUGUGCCAAUUCCCCUAAUA